CCUACGGGAGGCAGCAGUGGGGAAUAUUGCACAAUGGGGGAAACCCUGAUGCAGCGACGCCGCGUGAGUGAAGAAGUAAUUCGUUAUGUAAAGCUCUAUCAGCAGGGAAGAAAAUGACGGUACCUGAGUAAGAGGCCCCGGCUAACUACGUGCCAGCAGCCGCGGUAAUACGUAGGGGGCAAGCGUUAUCCGGAUUUACUGGGUGUAAAGUGAGCGUAGACGGCAGUGCAAGUCUGGAGUGAAAGGCGGGGGCUCAACCCCCGGACUGCUCUGGAAACUGGACGGCUGGAGUGCAGGAGAGGUAAGUGGAAUGCCUGGUGUAGCGGUGAAAUGCGUAGAUAUUAGGAGGAACACCAGUGGCGAAGGCGGCUUACUGGACUGUAACUGACGUUGAGGAUCGAAAGCGUGGGGAGCAAACAGGAUUAGAUACCCGAGUAGUC
rnacentral:rRNA from 1 species